rnacentral:rRNA from 1 species
GACGAACGCUGGCGGCGCGCUUAACACAUGCAAGUCGAGCGAGAACCAGGGCUUCGGCCCUGGGGACAGCGGCGAACGGGUGAGUAACACGUGGAUAACCUGCCCUCGGCACCGGGAUAGCCCGGGGAAACCCGGAUUAAUACCGGAUGGCCCUUCCGGCUUUCGAGCUGGUCGGAAAAGGUAGCUUCGGCCUCCGGCCGAGGAUGGGUCCGCGGCGGAUUAGCUUGUUGGUGGGGUAACGGCCUACCAAGGCGACGAUCCGUAGCUGGUCUGAGAGGACGAUCAGCCACACUGGGACUGAGAAACGGCCCAGACUCCGACGGGAGGCAGCAGUGGGGAAUCUUGCGCAAUGGGCGAAAGCCUGACGCAGCGACGCCGCGUGAGGGAGGAAGGCCUUCGGGUUGUAAACCUCUUUCAGGAGGGACGAAGCUACUCGGGUGAAUAGCCCAGAGGGUGACGGUACCUCCAGAAGAAGCCCCGGCUAACUACGUGCCAGCCGCCGCGGUAAAAC